rnacentral:rRNA from 1 species
AAGAGCUCAUCAUUGGAAUCUGGCAGUGUUGCACUGUCCGAGUUGUAGAUGAGGAGUAGUUCAUCUGGACUGCAUGGCGUCCAAGUACAAUAGGCCGUCAGUGGGACAUCAUAGAGGGUGACAAUCCCGUCCUUGAUGCCAAUGUGCAAGUCCAUUACGAUGACUAUCUCAGAGAGUCGAGCAGUUUGGGAUUUGCUGCUUAAACAUGGGAGGUAGAUUCCUUCUAAAGCUAAAUACAGGCGAGAGACCGAUAGAGAACAAGUACCGCAAGGGAAAGAUGAAAUAGCACUCUGUGAAGGGAGUCAAAAGGCGUGAAAUUGUUGCGAGAGAAGCGAUUCAAGUCAGCGUAGCUAGGCCCAUCAAGCCUCUUGCUUUGGACUAGCUUUGCCAGCGGUCUUGUCCUUAGAGACUUGACUUGUAUGUCCAGCCUGGUAUGCACAGGUAGCCCCUUCUGGGGGUCAGUGACAUGGCUGGUGGAAUGGCUUGCAAUCGACCCGUCUUGAAACACGGACCAAGGAGUCUAACAUGUAUGCGAGUAUAAGGGUGGCAAACCCGUAUGCGCAAUGAAAGUGAUUUUCGGUGAUUGAGAAUGGCCUGAUGACCAGACAAGCAAUACAUGUCCCUCGUACGGCCAUUGCCCAAGUUCCGUGGUAGAUCCCAUGAACAUGGAGUUGGAGCAUACAUGCUAGGACCCGAAAGAUGGUGAACUAUGCCUGGACAAAGCGAAGCCAAAGGAAACUCUGGUGGAGGCUUGUAGCGAUUCUGACGUGCAAAUCGAUCGUCUGAUCUGGGUAUA